rnacentral:rRNA from 1 species
AACACGUGGGUAACCUGCCUGUAAGACUGGGAUAACUCCGGGAAACCGGGGCUAAUACCGGAUGSUUGUUUGAACCGCAUGGUUCAAACAUAAAAGGUGGCUUCGGCUACCACUUACAGAUGGACCCGCGGCGCAUUAGCUAGUUGGUGAGGUAAYGGCUCACCAAGGCGACGAUGCGUAGCCGACCUGAGAGGGUGAUCGGCCACACUGGGACUGAGACACGGCCCAGACUCCUACGGGAGGCAGCAGUAGGGAAUCUUCCGCAAUGGACGAAAGUCUGACGGAGCAACGCCGCGUGAGUGAUGAAGGUUUUCGGAUCGUAAGCUCUGUUGUUAGGGAAGAACAAGUACCGUUCGAAUAGGGCGGUACCUUGACGGUACCUAACCAGAAAGCCACGGCUAACUACGUGCCAGCAGCCGCGGUAAUACGUAGGUGGCAAGCGUUGUCCGGAAUUAUUGGGCGUAAAGGGCUCGCAGGCGGUUUCUUAAGUCUGAUGUGAAAGCCCCCGGCUCAACCGGGGAGGGUCAUUGGAAACUGGGGAACUUGAGUGCAGAAGAGGAGAGUGGAAAUUCCACGUGUAGCGGUGAAAUGCGUAGAGAUGUGGAGGAACACCAGUGGCGAAAGGCGACUCUCUGGUCUGUAACUGACGCUGAGGAGCGAAA